rnacentral:rRNA from 1 species
GGGAAGAGCUCAAAUUUGAAAUCUGGCGUCCUCAGGGCGUCCGAGUUGUAAUCUAUAGAGGCGUUUUCCGUGCCGGACCGUGUCCAAGUUCCUUGGAACAGGAUAUCAAAGAGGGUGACAAUCCCGUACUUGACACGACGACCGGUGCUCUGUGAUACGUCUUCUACGAGUCGAGUUGUUUGGGAAUGCAGCUCAAAAUGGGUGGUGAGUUCCAUCUAAAGCUAAAUAUUGGCGAGAGACCGAUAGCGAACAAGUACCGUGAGGGAAAGAUGAAAAGCACUUUGGAAAGAGAGUUAAACAGUACGUGAAAUUGUUGAAAGGGAAACGAUUGAAGUCAGUCGUGACCGAGAGGCUCAGCCGGUUCUGCCGGUGUAUUCCCCUCGGUCGGGUCAACAUCAGUUUUGUCCGGUGGAUAAGGGCGGUAGGAAGGUGGCACCCUCGGGUGUGUUAUAGCCUGCCGUCGCAUACAUCGGGUGAGACUGAGGAACGCAGCUCGCCUUUAUGGCCGGGGUUCGCCCACGUCCGAGCUUAGGAUGUUGACAUAAUGGCUUUAAACGACCCGUCUUGA